UACGGGGGGGGCAAGCGUUGUUCGGAAUUACUGGGCGUAAAGGGCUCGUAGGCGGCCAACUCAGUCAGACGUGAAAUCCCUCGGCUUAACCGGGGAACUGCGUCUGAUACUGGAUGGCUUGAGUUUGGGAGAGGGAUGCGGAAUUCCAGGUGUAGCAGUGAAAUGCGUAGAGAUGCGGAGGAACACCGAUGGCGAAGGCAGCCCCCUGGGCUGACACUGACGCUCAGGCACGAAAGCGUGGGGAGCAAACAGG
rnacentral:rRNA from 1 species